CACACCGCCGCUGCCUCCUCUACGUCAGCACCUCCGUACAGCCACGUCGACCUCCGUACCUGCAAGGAUAGCACACAGAAGGAGACAAACGAAAAACAAAAAAUAACAGUUGUAUUCUUGGCUAUAAAAAGCCCUAAAAAUAGUGAUGUAAGGAUCAUAUUUUUUUUUAAAAAUACGAAUAUAAAAAAGUAAAAAAGAAACAUCAAACCUUUUUUGAGGUAGUCUCAUAUUCUUUCUUUUAUUUUAUUUUUGUUUGAUUUUGUAACACC
rnacentral:lncRNA from 1 species